CAGCAGCCACGGUAAUACGUAGGGUGCGAGCGUUAAUCGGAAUUACUGGGCGUAAAGCGUGCGCAGGCGGUUUUGUAAGACAGGCGUGAAAUCCCCGGGCUCAACCUGGGAAUGGCGCUUGUGACUGCAAAGCUAGAGUGCGGCAGAGGGGGAUGGAAUUCCGCGUGGAGCGGUGAAAUGCGUUGAGAUCGGAAAGAACACCAACAGCGAAAGCACUCUGCUGGGCCGACACUAACGCUGAGAGACGAAAGCUAGGGGAGCAAAUGGGAUUAGAUACCCCAGUAGUCCCUGUCUCUUAUAA
rnacentral:rRNA from 1 species